GUUCUCAACAUGCAUGGGAAAGUGGUGACUGUAAGGCACCAGGCUGUGACGCAGAAAAAGGACAACCGCUUCGCUGUGGCUCUGGACUCAGAUCAGAACAACAUCCAUGUGAAGGACAUUGUUAAGGUCAUUGAUGGCCCCCAUUCAGGCCGAGAGGGUGAGAUCCGCCAUCUGUACCGCAGCUUUGCCUUCCUGCAUUGCAAGAAGCUGGUGGAGAAUGGCGGCAUGUUUGUCUGUAAGGCACGGCACCUGGUGUUGGCUGGGGGCUCAAAGCCCCGGGAUGUGACCAAUUUAACUGUUGGUGGCUUCACUCCUAUGAGCCCCCGGAUCAGCAGCCCUAUGCACCCCAGUGCUGAAGGUGAG
rnacentral:lncRNA from 1 species